rnacentral:lncRNA from 1 species
GGAAGACUGCAUUCUGAGAUCAAUCGACAUGUUAAUCUGGAAUAAAAGAAAAUAGCACUAAGCUUCUCAACAUGGACAUUCUCGACAGCUAGGUAAUUAUAUAAAAUAUCCUUAUCUAUAUCUACUGAAGUUUAUGUAUGUAUGUGCAAUUUAUCCAUUACUUUACAUCCUUGGUCCUCAUGGUGCUGCCACUGAAGUACAGUAGAUCAUAUGCAUUUUACUGAAGUCGGAGUAAUGCCAGUUCUCCACUCAGCGCAAUGUCCCUGUGAAACGUAUAUGAUUCUACUCUUCAUUGAUGCAACUGAUGUACUGCCACACAAGGACAAAUACUUUAGUUGUGUACUAUAGGAAAAACAUGAUUCUUCCAUCCUGAGACUGGGUGAGGUGUUUGUUUUGGAACUUUGUACGUAAUCCAUUAACAGCGGUAUCAAAUGACGCUGAAUCUUGUUUGGUUAGUUUUGGCUGUAAUCACAAACCAUGGGAUCAGCUACCGAUCAAAAUCGUGUCGUAACAGAAACCGGAGCUGCCCUCUCGCGUCCAUUCUAAAACUGUUACCACGUCUUCCUUAUCC